AUGUCACCUGAGAGUCAAUGGGCAACGAUCAAAUUUCACCUUGAGCAGGUUCUUUUGUUUGCUUUCUAGUCACAAACAGCUUGGCCCUAAGUGGUGGCCCCCAUUCUUGUAAGAUGCGUUUAUUCAUCGUGUAAUCACCAGUUCCCUGUAGUGGGGGUGUGGAUGGAGUGUCAGAGGCUCCUGCUGGUCUUUAGGGUGUCUGGCCUCCAUGAAUCCUAGAGGUAGUAUUUGGAGAGAUUUUUAAAAGCUUUGUUUCUGUGACCAGCAAAACCUGGGUUUGACACUGAGGUCAGCCCAUUUCAGCCAGUGACUUAACCUGUCUUUUUGCCCCAAUAAAUUAGGAACAACAGCACUCGAUGUUAGAGUUGUUGUGAAGAUUAAAGCAGGUGAUGAUUGGACAACCCCUGGCCCAAUACCUGAAACUGUACCAGCACCCAGUGAGCAUUGCUAUUCCUGUGACUGCUACACAUUUACCUUAUCUCAGCAGUGAGCCUGUGUCACUUUUUUGGCACUCUUUUCUCAUGGGUACAUUCAGAGAAGAGGAAUGUUUGUUCACUGGUGAAGAGAACAUCCCGUGUACUAUCGUGUAGAAGUUGUAGUAGACGCUGUGGUCUUUCCAACAACAAACAAAGGCUGAGAGCUCCAAGGAGCUGUGAAUCACACCUCCAACUCCCCCCAGGGUAUGGGAAUGGAGUUCAGAAUGCUCUUCCCAAAGCUGCUGGGAUAGGACCCAGGAGGUUCCGGAGGAUCAGGAGGUCCACCUGGGAGAAGAGCUGAUCGGUUAGCAGGAGAGCUGGAAAAGCAACAGACACCUCCUUAGUCCCUUCCCUGG
rnacentral:lncRNA from 1 species